UUACAGUUAAACCCCUGACAAUAUGUUAUUCUGAAAAAGGGGCUUUUGAAAUUCAUAUAUGGUCCCCAGCCGAAAGUUGAAUUAUCAAAAGGGUCCUAAAAUAUUUUUAUGUGGUCCCUUUGCUAAAGUUUCAUUACAGAACAGUACUUUGACAAUUAUGUAUUACUCCAUGUAAUAAAUUUAUUGCAUAAAUCAACAAUUUAUAUGCUUUUUUAUGAUGAUACAUGAUUGUUUAAAUUAUUCAUAUUUUUCAUGAUAAAAGGAUGAUAUAUGCAUGAGACGAGCCAAAGCAUCUUAUGUAGG
rnacentral:lncRNA from 1 species